rnacentral:lncRNA from 1 species
AAAAAAGAUCUGUCAUCGUCAUCCUUUUCUACAUUAUAAACAAAGGAGCUUAUUGAUAUCGCAGUUCCACUAGGUCACGAUCGCACUACGAUCUGUGAAAAACAUGCAAAUUUUGACGAUGGUAGUGCGAUCGUGUAGAUCGCAGUAAGGUUGUAACACGGUCGUGGGGAGGUCUUCAAGAUCGUGAUGAGCUUGGCCAACUUCGAACAUGUUCAAACCAUGACCUGACUACGACCAUCACGUUCUCACUGCGACCAAACUACGCUUCCAUUACGACUAUGUCACGUUUAAACCACGCUGGUGAAGACCAUAGAAUGAUUCUAGCACGCCCAUGCCGUCCUCAUCACGCUCUUCUUACGACAUGACUAAGUUCAUACUACGACCUUCAUACUCUUUGUCAUUGUCACAUUAAAUAUAUAAAAGUUCUCCAAGUUUUGUUUGUCUGAAUGUAAUUUGGACCUCUUGUACUUUUUCUCUAAAUCUAGGUUCAUACUGCCGAUCAGAUCAACUCGAUGAUACCAAUUGUCCAAAUUUCCACGACCGAACUCAACCAAAGUCUUGAUCGGGCUUCUUUACGACUUCUAUGGACUACUAUCCGACUGUACACGAUUUUAACUCGACCAUUCACGACUCCUUAAUGACUCCAGCACGACUCCAUUACGACAACAAAAUAAAUACUUUUUCGAUAAAUCCGAUCGAUUCACGAUCUCCACACGAUCUUUACUCGACUAGCUAGACCAAAUCAACUAUUCUCGAUCUCAACCUGAUUUUGACCAGACCCAAUCGACCUGACCAUAUUGGGAUCGUAGGGAUAGCCGGGAAUUGGUUGGAUUGCUCAAUUGCAGUAUGAAAACGUCUGAAUUUUUAAUUCCCCAAGCAUUAAGACUAGUGUUACCCUUGUCCGUCCGUCCGUAAGUACUUACGUCCCCACAAUAUCAGUUUCUUUCUGUAAUUAAUUGUGCCUAAACCAAAUUUUAUUAAACGUAUACGCAAUGCUUAUUACCCUAACCCAAAGUUAAAGUGCGUAUUUGGGUGGCUGUUCUUGAUAAAUGACCCUUAUAAUGUUAAAUACCAGCUGAGGUAUUAUAGAUCUGUAUCCCAUGGAUACAUUCUCCGUUUAUUUGGUGAGUUUCAUUAGAAGUUCUGAGAAAAUCAUACAUUUUAAAUUUCUACAUAGAAAUAAAGCAGUUGGAUUUGUGGGCACGGUGGUUAGAGCUCAGAGACAAGAUAAUAGCUGUGACGGAGCUUGAAGAGAGCAUAGAAGACAAACAAGAAGAUGUAGACAACAACGGGCGUCAAGAAAUCUAGGUGAGGCAGCGGCUGACACGACGACCACUGUGUUGGCAGUAUGAAAGACUUGCACUCACGCUACAAAGAGUAAUCCAAUGGUUAUAAAAACUUUCUCAUAGUGAACGCUGAAAUGUAAUAGGAGUUUUAUUGCUCCUUUCUUGAAAAUGACACCACAAAAUGAGAAUAAAGCAGUUGGUUUUGUGAGCAAGGUGGUAAGAGCUCAGAGAGACAGGUUAAUAGCUGUGACGGAGCUUGAAAAUAGCAUAGAAGACGAACAAGAAGACGUAUGAGAGACUGACACUAAAUCAACAAAAAGGAAUAAUGAAUAAUCCAAUGGAUAAAAAAACUUCCUGAUAGUGGACGCUGAUCAGAUAUGUUAUAUGUCACAUAAAUCCCCAAAAUUUGGCCCAAAGCAGAAUUUCAAUCCCGGGA